AAAAUGCAUGUUGAUCAUGCAUUGCAAUAUUUCUGAUGCAUUGGGUUAAAUUAUGUUGUAGAACGGAUGACUUUCUUUCUUUUUCUCUUAAUAUAGAUGCUGUGAGCUUGUAGCUCAUGUUUUCCUGGACACCCUUGUUCUACACUUUCAAAGAAUGGCAACAGCAUGCUCUCCUCUCGUGAACUUGCAGGGGCAGGGGAGGUGGGGGAACUACACCUGGUAAGCUGAAUGUUUGUUUCAUUUUCCUUUGUCUGGAACGUGACCCAAACCCCUCAGGCCAGCUGUUGGUCAGUGUGGCAGUCUGAUGGCAGUCCGGGAUCAGUGAGUACUUGUGACACUUAAUAACUCCCAAGAGACACAGCUGGAAGAGCUAGAAGGCACAGUGAAGAGACCGAUUCUUUAUCCGGACUAUGUGAACUGAGAGAAGCCCCACGAAGUUCAUCUAAACCUACACCAUAGCUUCUGAAGACGCUGUUCACCAUCCCAGACACAAGUGUCAUCCCGUAUUCAUCUUUGUGUGCUGGAGGGAACAGAGAGCGCGGGAGGGCAGAGAGAACACGGAGCUCUCUGUUGCUCCUCACACUGUUCCAUGGGGACUUCUUCCUUGUCUGGGAACCUGAGAUCCAGAGUCCAUGAAGACUUCUGUUCCAGACGGGGAUGAGGAGUACAGAAGAUGGCUUUUGGUGUCCUAGUUAAGAGGUUUAAGGUACCAGAAUUCUGGGAUUAUGGGGGUGCUCCACCAUGCCUGUUUGUUAGCCCAGUUCCUAAAACUUGUCUGGUCUGAGCAGAAGUCUUUGCAGGGAGGACAGAACUAGGAUAUAUAGCUGGCCGUGGCCACAACUCCUGAUGGUGCUAGUGCUGCCCCCGUGGGCCUAUGGGAACCAUUUUCUUUCAAACCACCACAAAAGGCUUUCCAGAAACUUGAAGAGAGCAGUGUCUUGCACUUGUCCCUGUCAUGUCCUUGACCCAAAUACAUACCCCAAGGUCAGCAUCCAGGAUGACAGCUGUGGACAGCGUCUUGGUGUUUGGGGGAAAUGUCUCCAAUUUGUACCUGUGAAAAUGUCUCCAAUUUGUACCUGUUUGCACCUCAGUUCCUCUCUCUUAGC